AUUGAACGCUGGCGGCAGGCCUAACACAUGCAAGUCGAACGAGUGGCGGACGGGUGAGUAAUGUCUGGGAAACUGCCCGAUGGAGGGGGAUAACUACUGGAAACAGUAGCUAAUACCGCAUACCAUCGGAUGUGCCCAGAUGGGAUUAGCUAGUAGGUGGGGUAACGGCUCACCUAGGCGACGAUCCCUAGCUGGUCUGAGAGGAUGACAGGACACACUGGACCUGAGAAGCGGUCCAGACCCCUACGGGGGGCAGCAGUGGGGAAUAUGGCACAAUGGGCGCAGGCCUGAUGCAGCCAUGCCGCGUGUAGGAAGAAGGCUUUCGGGUUGUAAAGUACUUUCAGCGAGGAGGCGUUACUCGCAGAAGAAGCACCGGCUAACUCCGGGCCAGCAGCCGCGGUAAUUC
rnacentral:rRNA from 1 species